rnacentral:rRNA from 1 species
GCCUACUUCUGGCUUUGGUUGAGGAUAAUGGUCUAUUGUAGAUUAUGGAGGUGUACUACAAGAGAUACUCCCAUGUGAACCAAGGUUCGGUGUGUGGCACCUUUGAGGGGUUUAGCCCGUCCGGUACGAGCUCCGGUUCGUCCGGCCGGUGCGCCUUUUCAACUCACGGCCUCUAGGAAUGAAGGAGGGUAGUUCGGGGGAGAACUUUGUGGGGUGACUGAGGAGAAAUUCUUUGACCGCACCAAGACGAACUACAUCGAAUGGAUUCUUCAAGGAUACCUUCCUUAAUCCGCCCCAAAGUGUGGAGAUCGAAGAUGAUUAGAGACCAUUGUAGUCCACACUGCAUACAAUGACGCCCCUGAAUUGGGAAUCUUAUGGGCCGGCCUGCGGACUGGUUUACCCUGUGGCACCACCCCCCCCACUUUUACCACCUUGGGAUCUUUUCUAUUCGGCCUUUACCGGUCACCCACAGGAAUAUCCUCCCCACGUUUUCUGAUUUUUCACCCUAAAGGUUUCUCGUUUGUUUUUCCAAAA